UAGGAGGUUUACCAGUCUUAGGUGACUAAGCAGUUUUACAAAUAAACCCUUCAGCAAGUUUAAAAUUAAUUAGGCUCAACUCACUGGAAGUGGACCAUCUGCUGAUACACAGAAAUGAUGUCUAAUUGUUCCAGUGAGAUGGAUGUGAUCAAAACACAAAUACCAACUUAUGAAGAGGAAGAUGAUGAUGAUAACACUGUUCUUUAUGCAUAUGAGCCAAACACUACAUUUUUCAAUAACCAGGAAAAUGUCCUAUCGGACACAUCCUACAAUGAUGAGGAGCAGAAAACCGUUUUGGAUAUCCUUACCCAUUGUCAG